rnacentral:misc_RNA from 1 species
CACAAAAAGAGUCUUGGUGAUUGAGGAUGGUGAAGUGGUUCAUCUUAAGGAUGGAAGUGUGUCUAUUCUGAAGUUUGAUAAUGAUAAGGGAAGACAUAGUGGUGCCCAUUCCAGACCUUCAUCAGUCCAGCGUGAUGGAAGUAGAACAAAUAAAUAAAGGAAAUUAUGAGCACUAUAUGCAGAAAGAAAUUCAUGAACAACCAGAAUCUCUAACCACCACCAUGAGGGGGAGGCUUAUACGUGGAGGUUCCUGCAAAGCUAAGACUGUUCUGUUAGGUGGACUCAAGGAUCACCUUAAAACAAUACGACGAAGCCGUCGAAUUGUUUUUGUUGGUUGUGGUACAAGUUAUAAUGCUGCUCUAGCUGCUAGACCCAUCCUGGAAGAACUUUCCGGUGUCCCAGUUACUAUGGAAAUUGCAAGUGAUCUGGUGGAUAGGCAAGGGCCCAUAUACAGAG